rnacentral:rRNA from 1 species
UCUGGGGACUGUCACAAGGAGGUCAGAUCUUUUCCCAUGCCGAACACAGAAGUUAAACUCCUUAGCGUCGGUGGUAGUCGAACUUACGAUUCGCUAGCGUAGAGCGAUGCUAGGC